AUGUCAGAGUGUGUCCUAAAAGGCCUUUUUCCCCUUUUUUGGAUUAUGGCCAACUCCUGUGGUUUGGUUUUGAUUGACAGCUGGGAUGGAGUGUGGAAUAGCGGGAACAACCGGAGGGGUUUGGGGUUGCUUUUUUUCUUUUUUAAGUCUUUAAAAACCAACGAAGGGAGAAUGGGCAAUGAGAAGAAAGGAGACGAAAUUGUCGCUCCCCUCACAUACAUCGCUUUGUUAUUAUUUUUUUUAAUUACACAUUUGGCAAACACAGUCCCUCGCCUAGAGGCAGCGAUGUUCGCACCAAAAAUGCUUCUACUGCAGGAUGUGGAAGACACACUGGAGGGUGAGAGGCCCGGCUGCAGAUGGGGAGGGAAUCCCGGCUGGCGGGGGCGGCCUCCAGCGGGCAGGAGGCCCUGUCCAGGCCUGCUCGGCUCUGUUUGUCCCACUUUUUUUUUUUUUUAUUUUAUUCAUUUAUUCAUGACACAGAGAGAGAGAGAGAGAGAGGCAGAGACACAGGCAGAGGGAGAAGCAGGCUCCAUGCAGGGAGCCCGACGCGGGACUCGAUCCCAGGUCUCCAGGAUCACACCCCAGGCUGGAGGCAAUGCUAAACCACUGGGCCACUGGGGCUGCCCUGUUUAUCCCACUUUAAGCAUCUUUACAACCCAGUCUCCGCAUCCUUCGGCGGCAGGAGGUGAAAGCAAAGCCUCAUGGACCAGAUGGCUCAGAUGGGCCGGGCCAUUGGAUCCUCAACCAUUCCGAAGUAGGGGCUGUUGCCUUGAACCCAGGAGGAACCUGAUCAUCCAAGUGAAUGGGACCCUUGUGGGUGGUUCCUUCCAACUCCAUGAGUCAUGCCACCAAAAAUGGAAAAAGCAGACCCUGAGAUCCAUGACUAAUAGAGCGCUUUUUCAGAAGCUGGGGUACGUCUUACUUUAUUGUUAUUAUUAUUAUUAUUAUUAUUAUUAUUAUUGCUUUUUUUGUUUCCAGAGUCCUGAAUAUAGGUUUCAUCGCAGAGAAAUCUGA
rnacentral:lncRNA from 12 species